GCCAGAGUGGUGUAGGGGUUAGUGUUGGGCUAGGACUCUAGAGGCCAGGGUUCAAUUCCCCGCUUGGACA